UACGGAGGGUGCGAGCGUUAAUCGGAAUUACUGGGCGUAAAGCGCACGCAGGCGGCUUGUUAAGCUAGAGGUGAAAGCCCCGCGCUCAACGUGGGAACUGCCUUUAGAACUGGCAGGCUAGAGUCUUGGAGAGGGGAGUGGAAUUCCAGGUGUAGCGGUGAAAUGCGUAGAUAUCUGGAGGAACAUCAGUGGCGAAGGCGCUCCCUGGCCAAAAGACUGACGCUCAUGUGCGAAAGUGUGGGUAGAACAGGAUUAGAUCCCCGGUAGUC
rnacentral:rRNA from 1 species